AUCCUCUUGUCUCCCCUGUCUCUCUCUCUCUCCACUCGCCUCCCGGCCAUAGAGGAGGCGAAGCGGCUGGACUGAUCUGCGGCGACGGAGGAGGUGGAGAGCGGAUCCAGCGGUGACGGUAGCUUCCCGCGUCGGAUUCGGCGGCGACCACAGCAGAUCCUCGGGCCACGCUGCUGCCGAUGGAUCCCUCAAGUCCCCUGGCUUGGUGGUGCCCGCAUCGCCGCAGCCCGCGCCUCGUCAGGGCGGCAUCCGGUGUCAUGACCUCGCCCCACCCCGACAUCGUCUGCUCCUGCUAGGACUGAUGGGGCUUCAUCUGGCUCUGGUUCCGGAUCAUCCUAGGAAGAGGAAGGGGAGGGCCCAAGCUGUUCUCGUCCCUGUUGCUUCUCCGACCAGUGGUUGUUGGUUGGGUCGAUGAAGCCAGUGGCCGAGAAGGAUGUUCUUAGAUGUUUGUUCAACCUGUUUAUGUAUUCUUGGAUGUUCUUGAUGUUUCCAGAUACCGAUUAAUAUUGAUGGAAUAUAGUUGGGGUGAAGGGAAGUUGCUCGAUGAAAUCGAGCCACCUUUUUUAAGUUCCUGUAACCUCAAUAGUGCCGGUUCCUAGACCACCUCAAAGGUGUCGUCUACUGGUGCCUGUUGUAAAAUCCGGCACCCAUGAGGGUUUCCCAACCGACAUAUAUAGUUAUUUCUGUAUCAGUGUUUCUAUAUCUGCAUUGCUUGGAUAACUUGUAUAAAACUAUAAUGGCUUUAAUAU
rnacentral:sRNA from 1 species